GAGUUUGAUCCUGGCUCAGGACGAACGCUGGCGGCGUGCCUAACACAUGCAAGUCGAACGAGAAUCUUUGAACAGAACUUUUCGGAGUGACGUUCAAAGAGGAAAGUGGCGGACGGGCGAGUAACGCGUGAGUAACCUGCCCAUAAGAGGGGGAUAAUCCAUGGAAACGUGGACUAAUACCGCAUAUUGUAGUUAAGUUGCAUGACUUGAUUAUGAAAGAUUUAUCGCUUAUGGAUGGACUCGCGUCAGAUUAGAUAGUUGGUGAGGUAACGGCUCACCAAGUCAACGAUCUGUAGCCGAACUGAGAGGUUGAUCGGCCGCAUUGGGACUGAGACACGGCCCAGACUCCUACGGGAGGCAGCAGUGGGGAAUAUUGCGCAAUGGGGGCAACCCUGACGCAGCAACGCCGCGUGCAGGAAGAAGGUCUUCGGAUUGUAAACUGUUGUCGCAAGGGAAGAAGACAGUGACGGUACCUUGUGAGAAAGUCACGGCUAACUACGUGCCAGCCGCCGCGGUAAUAC
rnacentral:rRNA from 1 species